UGGGGAAUAUUGCACAAUGGGGGGAACCCUGAUGCAGCGACGCCGCGUGAGUGAAGGAGUACUUCGGUAUGUAAAGCUCUAUCGGCAGGGAAGAAGAUGACGGUACCUGACUAAGAAGCCCCGGCUAACUACGUGCCAGCAGCCGCGGUAAUACGUAGGGGGCAAGCGUUAUCCGGAUUUACUGGGUGUAAAGGGAGCGUAGACGGCAGGGCAAGUCCGGAGUGAAAGCCCGGGGCCCAACCCCGGGACUGCUUUGGAAACUGCCCGGCUUGAGUGCUGGAGAGGUAAGCGGAAUUCCUAGUGUAGCGGUGAAAUGCGUAGAUAUUAGGAGGAACACCAGUGGCGAAGGCGGCUUACUGGACAGUAACUGACGUUGAGGCUCGAAAGCGUGGGGAGCAAACAGG
rnacentral:rRNA from 1 species